rnacentral:rRNA from 1 species
GACGAACGCUGGCGGCGUGCUUAACACAUGCAAGUCGAGCGGUAAGGCCCUUCGGGUACGACGAGCGGCGAACGGGUGAGUAACACGUGGGUGACCUGCCUCUAGCUCUGGGAUAAGCCUGGGAAACGUGGGUCUAAUACCGGAUAUGACUCCACGGCGCAUGUUGUGGGGUGGAAAGCCUUGUGUGGCUAGAGAUGGGCCCGCGGCCUAUCAGCUUGUUGGUGGGGUGAUGGCCUACCAAGGCGACGACGGGUAGCCGGCCUGAGAGGGCGACCGGCCACACUGGCACUGACA